rnacentral:rRNA from 1 species
GAGGAAUAUUGGACAAUGGAGGCAACUCUGAUCCAGCCAUGCCGCGUGAAGGAAUAAGGCCCUAUGGUUCGUAAACUUCUUUUGACGCAGAGCAAUAAGGACUACGUGUAGUCUGAUGAGAGUAUGCGUCGAAUAAGCAUCGGCUCACUGCGUGCCAGCAGCCGCGGUAAUACGGAGGAUGCAAGCGUUAUCCGGAUUUAUUGGGUUUAAAGGGUGCGUAGGCUGAAGAUCAAGUCAGCGGUGAAAUGUCCCGGCUCAACCGGGGCCUUGCCGUUGAAACUGGUAAUCUGGAAUGCGGAUGCAGUAGGAGGAAUGUGUGGUGUAGCGGUGAAAUGCAUAGAUAUCACACAGAACACCGAUUGCGAAGGCAUCUCACGAAUCCGCUAUUGACGCUGAGGCACGAAAGCGUGGGGAUCAAACAGG